UACGUAGGGGGCAAGCGUUGUCCGGAAUCAUUGGGCGUAAAGAGCGUGUAGGCGGCUAGAUAGGUCCGUUGUGAAAACUCGAGGCUCAACCUCGAGACGUCGAUGGAAACCAUCUGGCUAGAGUCCGGAAGAGGAGAGUGGAAUUCCUGGUGUAGCGGUGGAAUGCGCAGAUAUCAGGAGGAACACCAAUAGCGAAGGCAGCUCGCUGGGACGGUACUGACGCUAAGGCGCGAAAGCGUGGGGAGCGAACAGG
rnacentral:rRNA from 1 species